GGAAUGCCUCUGCACCUCGUCGGUCAGGACCUGUAGCUCACGAAUGUGCAAAGUCAGGCCAGCCAAUGAGUCAGUUUGGACAGAGCAGCUCCCCUGGCCGAAGAGGAGCAGCUCAACAGGGUAUGCAUGAGGAUUAAGAUGGAAGCAAGGAACUCACCAUCACACACUGACACUCACUGACCUUUGUUCUCCUGAGCCAUGCGCAGCGCCUGCAACGAUGUCCGCGGGCUGAUCUCCAGCUGGCACACCAGAAUUUUUGCGCGACGGAUGGCUG